rnacentral:rRNA from 1 species
GACGAACCGUGCGAACGUUGUUCGGAAUCACUGGGCUUAAAGGGCGCGUAGGCGGCCGCGUAAGUCCGGGGUGAAAUCCCCCAGCCCAACUGGGGAAGUGCCUUGGAUACUGCGUGGCUCGAGCGGGGUAGGGGCAUGUGGAACUUCCGGUGGAGCGGUGAAAUGCGUAGAUAUCGGAAGGAACGCCGGUGGCGAAAGCGACGUGCUGGACCCCCCCUGACGCUGAGGCGCGAAAGCCAGGGGAGCGAACGGG